rnacentral:rRNA from 1 species
AUUGAACGCUGGCGGCAUGCCUUACACAUGCAAGUCGAACGGCAGCACGGGAGCAAUCCUGGUGGCGAGUGGCGAACGGGUGAGUAAUAUAUCGGAACGUGCCCAGUCGUGGGGGAUAACGCAGCGAAAGCUGUGCUAAUACCGCAUACGAUCUACGGAUGAAAGCGGGGGAUCGCAAGACCCCGCGCGAUUGGAGCGGCCGAUAUCAGAUUAGCUAGUUGGUGAGGUAAAGGCUCACCAAGGCGACGAUCUGUAGCUGGUCUGAGAGGACGACCAGCAACACGGGAACUGAGACACGGUCCAGACUCCUACGGGAGGCAGCAGUGGGGAAUUUUGGACAAUGGGCGCAAGCCUGAUCCAGCAAUGCCGCGUGCAGGAUGAAGGCCUUCGGGUUGUAAACUGCUUUUGUACGGAACGAAACGGUGAGCUCUAAUACAGUUUGCUAAUGACGGUACCGUAAGAAUAAGCACCGGCUAACUACGUGCCAGCCGCCGCCGUAA